rnacentral:rRNA from 1 species
UGCAAGUCGAGCGAGGUACUUGUACCUAGCGGCAGACGGGUGCGUAACAUGUGGGAAUCUGCCUUUUGGUUCGGAACAACACGGGGAAACUUGUGCUAAUACCGGAUAAGUCCUAACGGAGAAAGAUUUAUCGCCGAAAGAUGAGCCCGCACUAGAUUAGCUUGUUGGUAAGGUAAAAGCUUACCAAGGCUACGAUCUAUAGCUGAUUUGAGAGGAUGAUCAGCCACACUGGGACUGAGACACGGCCCAGACUCCUACGGGAGGCAGCAGUGGGGAAUCUUGCACAAUGGAGGAAACUCUGAUGCAGCGAUGCCGCGUGAGUGAAGAAGGCCCUUGGGUUGUAAAGCUCUUUUGUCGGGAAAGAUAAUGACUGUACCCGAAGAAUAAAGUCCGGCUAACUUCGUGCCAGCAGCCGCGGUAAUACGAAGGGACCUAGCGUAAUUCGGAAUUACUGGGCGUAAAGCGCGCAUAGGCGGUUAAGUAAGUUAAUUGUGAAAGCCCAAAGCUCAACUUUGGAAUUGCAAUUAAAACUACUUAGCUAGAGUUUAUCAGAGGAAAGCGGAAUACAUAGUGUAGAGGUGAAAUUCGUAGAUAUUAUGUAGAACACCAGUUGCGAAGGCGGCUUUCUGGGAUAACACUGACGCUGAGGUGCGAAAGUAUGGGUAGCGAAGAGGAUUAGAUACCCUCGUAGUCCAUACCGUAAACGAUGAUUGUUAGAUGUUGGAAAUUUAUUUUCAGUAUCACAGCUAACGCGUUAAACAAUCCGCCUGGGGAGUACGACCGCAAGGUUAAAACUCAAAUGAAUUGACGGGGACCCGCACAAGCGGUGGAGCAUGUGGUUUAAUUCGAAGCUACGCGCAGAACCUUACC